rnacentral:rRNA from 1 species
UACGUAGGGUGCGAGCGUUAAUCGGAAUACUGGGCGUAAAGCGUGCGCAGGCGGUUUGUUAAGACAGAUGUGAAAUCCCCGGGCUUAACCUGGGAACUGCAUUUGUGACUGGCAAGCUAGAGUAUGGCAGAGGGGGGUAGAAUUCCACGUGUAGCAGUGAAAUGCGUAGAGAUGUGGAGGAAUACCGAUGGCGAAGGCAGCCCCCUGGGCCAAUACUGACGCUCAUGCACGAA